AAAUUGAAGAGUUUGAUCAUGGCUCAGAUUGAACGCUGGCGGCAGGCCUAACACAUGCAAGUCGAACGGUAACAGGAAGAAGCUUGCUUCUUUGCUGACGAGUGGCGGACGGGUGAGUAAUGUCUGGGAAACU
rnacentral:rRNA from 3 species